UGUAUCUUUUGAUGCGCUUGUGCUAUGCUGAUUGUAGAAAUUUCCCUGGUGUACUCUGAUGCAGAACACCAAUGAACUAAACGGGGAGUGUAAAAUUGGUACUAAACUGCUGAAACCAGGAUGUUUAGGUAGUACCUCAAUGUAGGAUGGGCUAUGUAAGAGGCAUUAAAGUGACACUAUGCAUCAGUAUUGAUGUGGAAGCACAGCUAACUGCCUAGAGGACAAGCUAAUGACACA